CACUGACACACGAUUUUUCGCUCCUGGCGCCCACAAAGAUGCUCGGAACACCGGCUGUCGGCGAGCAUGCAGUCUCGCUUCUCCUGCCAAUGUUGCUGCGGAAAAGGCAAGUGCGAGUUCCUGUGAAAGAGGUUCUUCUCAGCACUCCGCAGCCUGUGCUUGCCAUGCGCGUUCUUGAACACGCCAACCGCAGAGUUUUACGAGCGGGGCGGACUCCUGUGCACCAUUGCCGAGAGCAUGUUGCGUCUCAGCCGGCCUCACCUCGCGCACUCGAUCUCCUCGUGGAUGUUCCGGGGUUUAGCCGCGCUCCCGAGGCUGAUCCUGCUGAACCUCAAUUUGUGAUCCUGAGCGCAGGACGUUCACAGACGCCUCCAGUCAGCCAUAACGCAGUGCGCUUACCUCUCUCCCUGCUCGACGUCGCGCAGUUUCAUCGAGAAAGGCACCGCGAGCGGCGGCCUUCCUUGGCCGUGUCGAGCAGCAAGGCGGCCUCCAUGGCAUUGCUGGAAGGGGCACGGCAAGAUGCGACAAUGAAGAGCAGUCUCGAGCUCUACUGUGGCCCCGCAAGCAAGGAUUUGAUGAUUAUGGACAUUCCCGCCGAUUUGGACGUCGACACCUACCUUUGGGAAGGACUGCUCGUCGCCGAGUCGAUGCUGGAGGCUGACGGUACACUCCUCGUCGUGUCGCCGCACGCAUUCUCUGCCCAUGUACGGCGUUUUCUGCAGUGGCGCUUUGUCCGUGCGCGGUGCGCCGUUAGUGACGCCGGCGCAGUGCACUACGCUGUGUGCUCCUCUGUGGCCGCCGACUUUGGAGACGCUGCGGUGCGGCGCGACGACUUCCCCGGUCAGCUUCCUACCGGAAAGCGGCGGCCUCGCAAGUGGAAUCCCUAUCGCCGGCCGGAGAAGCAGAAGUUCGUGGCGUCGCUGCGGCCAUGGUUUACAAAUGCCCCAUUCAUUAAAGACGCCUUGCGGUGCACUCUCGAGCGCGAGCAGGACGCCCAGGAGCGACUCCGCGACGCCGAUGACGCCUUUUUUGCCGUUGCGCACGAGAUGGUGGAAAAGGGGGUGCACUACUCGCAUCCCAACGACUAAGGGUGCGCACGGCAGCAACCGAGCGAAGAACAGAACAUGAAAACAAGGAGUUGCGGAAAAAGGCAGGGAAGGGUGCAGGCUGCGGUGUUGCCCACUCAACGCCGCCCCCGAUUUUUUUUUUUUGCCUUGCCUCGUUCAUCUCCUCGUAAAGAUGUGCGCUGGAUGAACACGCGCGAGU
rnacentral:misc_RNA from 1 species